rnacentral:rRNA from 1 species
AAAGGAAUAGACGGGGGCCCGCACAAGCGGUGGAGCAUGUGGUUUAAUUCGAAGCAACGCGAAGAACCUUACCAAGACUUGACAUCCUUUUGACCGUCCUAGAGAUAGGAUUUUCCUUCGGGACAGAAGUGACAGGUGGUGCAUGGUUGUCGUCAGCUCGUGUCGUGAGAUGUUGGGUUAAGUCCCGCAACGAGCGCAACCCUUGUUUUUAGUAGCCAGCGGUUCGGCCGGGCACACUAGAGAGACUGCCGUGGAUAACACGGAGGAAGGUGGGGAUGACGUCAAAUCAUCAUGCCCCUUAUGUUUUGGGCUACACACGUGCUACAAUGGCGACUACAAAGAGAUGCGAGAUAGUGAUAUGGAGCAAACCUCAAAAAAGUCGUCCCAGUUCGGAUUGUGGUCUGCAACUCGACCACAUGAAGCUGGAAUCGCUAGUAAUCGCGGAUCAGCAUGCCGCGGUGAAUACGUUCUCGGGCCUUGUACACACCGCCCGU